GUCUACGGCCAUUCCACCCUGAACGCGCCCGAUCUCGUCUGAUCUCGGAAGCUAAGCAGGAUCGGGCCUGGUUAAUACUUGGAUGGAAGAGUAGAACACUGCUAUAUACA
ensembl:rRNA 5S_rRNA 5S ribosomal RNA